rnacentral:rRNA from 1 species
GGGAUUUGCGCAUGNCGCGAUGCCUGNGCACGACGCCGCGUGUGGGAUGAAGGUCUUCGGAUUGUAAACCACUGUCGGGAGGGACGAAGGCGCGGGGUUAACUGCCGCCGCGAUUGACGGUACCUCCAAAGGAAGCACCGGCUAACUCUGUGCCAGCAGCCGCGGUAAUACAGAGGGUGCAAGCGUUAAUCGGAUUUACUGGGCGUAAAGCGUGCGUAGGUGGUUUGUUAAGUCAGGCGUGAAAUCCCCGGGCUCAACCUGGGAACUGCGUUUGAUACUGGCAGACUCGAGUGUGGUAGAGGGUAGUGGAAUUCCGCAUGUAGCGGUGAAAUGCGUAGAGAUGCGGAGGAACAUCAGUGGCGAAGGCGGCUACCUGGACCAACACUGACACUGAGGCACGAAAGCGUGGGUAGCAAACAGGAUUAGAUACCCUGGUAGUCCACGCCCUAAACGAUGGGUACUAGACGUCGGGAGGUUUAUCCUCUUGGUGUCGCAGCUAACGCAAUAAGUACCCCGCCUGGGGAGUACGGUCGCAAGAUUAAAACUCAAAAGAAUUGACGGA